rnacentral:rRNA from 1 species
GACGAACCGUGCGAACGUUAUUCGGAAUCACUGGGCUUAAAGGGUGCGUAGGCGGGCUCGCCAGUCAGGGGUGAAAUCCCACGGCCCAACCGUGGAAGUGCCUCUGAUACUGCGGGCCUCGAGGGGGAUAGGGGCGUGCGGAACUUCCGGUGGAGCGGUGAAAUGCGUAGAUAUCGGAAGGAACACCGGUGGCGAAAGCGGCGCGCUGGAUCCCUACUGACGCUGAGGCACGAAAGCGUGGGGAGCAAACAGG